GCCUCAAUAGCUCAGUGGUAGAGCAUCUGCCUUGUAAGCAGAGGGUCGGGGGUUCAAAUCCCUCUUGAGGCU
rnacentral:tRNA from 1 species